GGAAUGUUAUACCUCAAAAUCAGGUGAAUGCUAUAAUCAGAGAUGAAUGGGGGCCAUUCUACUAGGCAUAUGGAAGACAAUAUGCUAAGAGGUGUGCAGGCAUGGAAGCAUAGCUCAAGAGGUGUCAGAGGAGAACAAUACUGGCAACUGGGCUAGGGACCAUUCUUGGGAUACUUUGGCAAAGACUGUUGCUUUCUGCCCUAAGCAUUUACCUGACACACACACAAAAAAUGAAAAGUAAUGGACUGAUUUUUUUGGUGAAGAUGUCAAGACAGUCUAAUAUUGGCUCUAUUACGUGGCCAUAUCUAUUAGUCAUCUCGUUUAUGUAGGUCUACAAUAGAAGAAGAGCAAGUAGGGCAAACAGAAAAACGAAAUGUAAAGUUAGAGGAGAAAAAGGGCACCCGGAAAUCUCACGUCGGAGGCAAGGCUUGUGCUCAAAAGAAAUAAGGAAUCAGGACACGGCCUGAUCCACAUUGGUAUCAAGAGAGAGGCACCCUCUGGGCAAGAUUCCACCCAGAUAAUCUCACGAUUUGUGAAAACAAGAAGCCUAGGAAAUUUCAUGCUGCUUGUCUUAGUCAGGGUUUCUAUUCCUUCACAAAACAUCAUGACCAAGAACCAAGUUGGGGAGGAAAGGGUUUAUUCAGCUUACACUUCCACAUUGCUGUUUAUCACCAAAGGAAGUCAGGACUGGAACUCAAGCAGGUCAGGAAGCAGGAGCUGAUGCAGAGGCCAUAGAGGGAUGUUCCUUACUGGCUUGCUUCCCCUGGAUUGCUCGCUCAGCCUGCUUUCUUAUAGAAUCCAGGACUACAAGCCCAGGGAUGGCACCACCCACAAGGGGACCGUCACAUGUUGAUCACUAAUUGAGAAAUUGCCUUACAGCUGGAUCUCAUGGAGGCAUUUCCUCACCUGAAGCUCCUUUCUCUGUGAUAACUCCAGCUGUGUCAAGCUGACACACAAAACCAGCCAGUUCACUGCUGAAGAACGGUAACGAAUCAAUUACACAUAAGUCAAGGAGGCCAGGCUUCAUCCCAAGAGGCAGCCAAACCUGGCAGCGUUGUCCACGUGGUUCUGGCUCUAGAGUCGUGAAAUACAGGAGUAAAGGAGCUGUGGAAUCUCUACCGGAGGUUAAGAAGAGCCACCAAAGCCAGGUGUGUAGCAGACGAAUCCCCGCACGGAGGCCCCGGGAAGCCUUUGAGUGAGGCUUUGAGAGUGAAGCCUGUAGGCUUUGGAGACCCUAAGAUGUUAGACCUAUCAGAGCUGUGGAUAGAGCUGCAUACAGGCUUUACUAGCCCGAGAUGGAGAUCUGUCUUGCAGGCAGCAGGCUGGAAGGGGGCAGCCCUCUAAGCCCUUGGACGUCACACAGGACUUGGAGUUAGCUCCUGUGCUGUGGUCUUGCUUUGGUCCACAAAGCCUCUGCUUUCUUCACUAUGCCCCAGUUCCUCCCUUUGGAGUAGUAAUGUAUAUUCUGUGCCGUUGUAAGUUGGAAGCAAGUAGCUCACCUUUGGAAUAUCUGGGGGUUGCGAUUAAGAGAUGGCCUUGGGAUUCAGAAGAGACUUGGGCUUUUAAACAGUUAAGACUGUAAGAGACUGUGUGGACACUUUUGAAGUUGGACUAAAUGCAUUUUGCAUUAUGAGAUGUGCCUAGCCUAUGGGGGCCAGGAAGUGGAAUGUGGUGGUUUGGAUGAGAGUGGCUCCCUUUGACCCAACCUCUGAGGGUCAGCAAGCUGCAGUGGCUAUGGCCUUUAUAGGGCAGUCAGCAUCAGAUAUUAAGAAAAAGUUACAGCGGCUAGAAGGGUUGCAGGAUUAUACCUUGCAGGAUGUGGUUAAGGAGGCAGAGAAAGUGUUUCAUAAGCGGAAGACUGAGGGAGAGAAGUGAGAAAAAGAGAAAUAAGAGGCAAAAGAAAGAGAAGACAGGAGGGAUCAUAGACAAAAGAGAAAUUUGACUAGAAAUUUGGCUGCAGUGGUAGGAGGAAAAAAAAAAGACAGGACCUAGACAGAUAGGGAACUUGGGCAACAGAAAACCAAGGAUGAGUAAUGAUGGACAGAGGCGCCCCUUGGAUAAAGACCAAUGUGCUUGUUGCAAAGAAAAAGGCUCAGCCGCGUCAGACUGAAGUUACUUAUUUGGGAUACACCCUUCAAGACGGGAAGCGGUGGCUAACGGAAGUCAGAAAAAAGACUGUAACUCAGAUCCCCACCCCAACUACACCAAGAGCCUUUUGUUGACUGAACGAGUGACCUUCGCUCCCCCUGCUGUCCUCAAGCCCGCUACCCUACUGCCUGAGACGGAUGACUCUUCACCUACUCAUCACUGCGCUGACAUUCUGGCAGAAGAAACUGGUACUUAAAUGAUCUGAAGGAUCAGCCUUGGCCUGGGCGUCGGAGCUGGUCCACGGAUGGCAGUAGCUUCGUGGUUGAAGGUUAGCGGAAGGCGGGGGCAGCAGUGGUGGACGGGAAGCAAGUGAUCUGGGCCAGCAGCCUCCCUGAAGGGACGUCGGCCCAGAAAGCCGAACUUGUGGCUUUGAUACAAGCUCUACGAAAGGCAGAGGGGAAGUCUAUCAACAUCUACACUGACAGCAGGCCCUUGAGGUAGUGAUACGCCAAGCCUGGGAACAACUGAAAGAGGCCUAUGAGACUGGGAGUCUGGACUUGUCCCACCAGUUCCAGGUCAGAGACGCCAUCCUAGUCCGAUGCCAUUGAGUGGGAAAUCUGGAACCUCACUGGAAAGGACCAUACUUGGUACUCUUGACAACCCCUACGGCGGUGAAGGUUGAAGGUAUUUCUGCUUGGAUCCAUGCCUCCCACAUGAAGCAGGCCCCAGAGCCAUCUAAAGAUGAGUUUGACAAGUGCCCAACCCAUUUUCGGAGAGAGCCUGUCUCUUUGACACUAGCAGUAAUCCUGGGUCUCGGGGUAGCCGCCGGUGUUGGGACAGGCACCGCUGCCCUAAUACAGUACUUUAAUGAAUUAAGAAUUGCCAUGGAUGAAGAUUUGAGGGCCCUGGGACAAUCUAUUUCCAAGCUUGAAGAGUCUUUGACUUCCUUCUCAGAAGUAGUCUUACAGAAUAGAAGGGGAUUCGAUUUGUUAUUCUUAAAAGAGGGAGGAUUAUGCGCUGCUCUCAGAGAAGAGUGUUGUUUUUAUGAAGACCAUUCAGGAGUAAUUAAAGACUCCAUGAGUAAACUUAAAGAGAGAUUAGACAAAAGACAGAGACAGAGACAGAGAGAGAGAGAGAUGCAUCAGGGAUAGUUUGAAAAUUGGUUUAGUAGAUGUCCUUGGAUGACUACUUUGAUAUCUACCCUUAUGGGACCCCUUUUGAUUUUGCUUCUGCUUUUAAUUAUAGGUCCAUGUAUAUUAAAUAAGUUAGUUACCUUUAUUAGAGAAAGAGUGAGUGCUGUUCAGAUUUUGAUGUUACGUCAUGCUUUAGAAAGUCAAGAAAAGCUGAGCAGUGGUGACGCAUGCCUUAGAUCCCAGCACUUGGGAGGCAGAGGCAGGCGGAUUUCUGAGUUUGAGGUCAGCCUGGUCUACAGAGUGAGUUCCAGGUCAGCCAGGGCUACACAGAGAAACCUUGUCUCGAAAAAAAAAAAGGUCAAGAAAAUCAAUAUUAUGAAGGUACUGAAAUUUAGUUCUAUGAUUAGAACUAGCCACUAGAAAAAGUGGGAAAUGUAAGGUAGAAGAUUUAAGUUUGACCCCCUAGUCCAGUUGGAGCCAAGAAAAAUAGUUGGGCCCCGAAGCAGCCUGUUCCAGAAACUUGGCUGGCCACACCCUGUUCCAGGAGCUUGGCUGAGCACAAAAGUUAGAUUAAAAUCUUGAGAACAAUCUUGGGUUGUGGCUUUUUCCUUUAAAUACCCCCUUUCCCAACUACUCGGGGCCGAACUCCUCUACCCGUGUGUGGGAUACAAGUCGGCCCCAGCAUGCUGGUUCCUAUCAAUAAACCGCAUGUAAUUGUA